rnacentral:lncRNA from 1 species
GCUUGAUCAGAAUUUGUGCAAUUGAGGCGUUUCUAGGUUGAUCAAGAAUCUAGUUUGGCAUCCGUGGUGAUUGUUGUGUUACCUGUUGUGACUACAGGGAUUAGACUAGUGGAGUCUGAUACACUUUGAGAAUUGUUCAAAGUGGGUUGCAGAUUGUAGGAGAGGGGACACUUGCUACAAGUCUUGUUGUGUGGUUUGCGUAUAUUUUGGUUAAAGGGUUAGAGAGGUGUUUUAUAUUUUUGACGUGGAGGUCUCUAUAAAAGCCUUGUUGUAAAAACCUUGACCAUUAUAGUGCAUUUGCUUCCUGGUACUGGAAGGACACUGGAUGUAGGCAUUAAGGUCGAACCAAUAUAAAAACCUGUGUUUGAAUUCUCUAUCCCUAUACUUUUACAUUCAGUCGACUUUAUGAUUCGCUUAGUCUACUUUUAUUUUCCGCUGCGCUAAAUUUUCUAUAACUUGCGAUUCAAGAAAGUUUGUAAAGUUUUUUACUUUGAAUCAAAGAUUGCGAAAAGACUCUGAUUUUGAAAACAUACCAAUUCACCCCCUCUUGGUGUUAAAACGAAGCCUACUGGUUUCUCAACAAAUAUAGUAUCUUUCUGGUUUAGUAUUUUCUCUCCAUGUUUAAUAAACAUAAAAAAGGGAGGGGAGAAAGAGCAUCACGACACAAAUGAAGAAAGAUAGGUGGUUGAGAGCAAUGGAUAAGGGAAAAAGGGAUUAGAGAAGGGGAAGGCCUAGAAGAGAGGUUGGUGAAGACUAUUCGGUGGGGAGAAAAAAGAAGGCUUCAAAAAAAGGGUUGGGGGUAGGAUGAGGGAUGGAGAAGGCUUAGAAAGAAAAGUGGUGGAAAGAGUUUGAUGUGGUUGUGAUGGUGGUGAGGUUGGGUUGGUCUUCUUUCAUCAGGUUCUUCAAAUAAGAAGCACAUAAGAGCUUUCGAAUGCUUCUAAGUAGAGACAACUUCCAGUCAUGUUCAAGGUUUUUUCGUUGUCUCACAUCUGCUACAGAAGAGGAUAAGUGUCAUCUCUAAGUGAUUAUAUUU